CCCCAUUUCCCAAUCCCUACACUUAGGUUUCCUCUGCCCCUCCCCCCUGCAAGCCCAAAGGCUUUGGCAAGGGGGCAGCUGAGCUGUGGGAUACCAUUUUCCCUCUAUUGUUGUUGUUGUUGUUAUUAUUAUCAUUAUUAUUAUUAUUAUUAUUAUUAUUAUUAUUAUUAUUAUAACAGACACCAAGCUGCCGAGGCAGAAAGGAGCCGGGCGCCCCCUCUUUCUUGAAGAGGGCAAAAGUCAGGGCGCCGGAGCCUGGACCUGGAACGCCCUCUCCCAACCCCUAGUCUCAGCGUUUUGUGAUUUUAAUUUUGGCGGGAGGAAGUGUGGAUUGAGAGGAAAGAGAGAGGCCAAGACAAUUUGUAACUAGAAUCCGUUUUUCCCUUUUCCUUUUUUUAAACAAACAAACAAACGUACAAAAAAAAAAAAAAAAAAAAAGCUAAGAGGCGACGGAGGCCGAACGCAGAGUCCGGAUCGGAGAGAAAACGCAGUAAGAACUUUUAGAAGCAAUAAAAGGCAAAAAAUACUACUACCAAUAAUAAAAAGACACAAAUAUCUAUGCAAGGAGGUUCUGACAGAGCCUAGCGGCCCGGCCCGGCCCCGGGAUGCCCCUCCCGGCCCGCGGGUCGCGCCGCCCAAGCGCGGAUCUGUGCACUUUGGUGAAGUGGGGGCCGGUGCCGCCCCCUCCCCUCCCCAGGUUCUUACAAUCAGUGACUCGGAGAUUUGGGGCCCCAGUGCCACUGCCCUCCCCCCGCCCCGUCCCCAUUGUGCGUCAUGCUGUUUUUUAAAAACCUGUUUCCAAAUUUGUAUGGAAUGGCAAACUGUUGGGGGGGUCGGUUUGGGGAGGGAGGGUUUGCAUGAGAGACACACACGCACACCACACCGCACGCACACGCAGGCCCGGCGCGGGCGUCGAGGGGCAGAGGGAGGAGAGUUCUUGGAACCCUCGCUCCCCGCAGGCAAUCCUCAUCCCGGGUUGAGGGUGGAGAGGUUUUUUUGUCUGAGGCAUCCUCUUGGCUCAGGCUAGCAGGUGGGCAGGGAGAGGGCUGAGGGCUCCUUCUGGAAGUUUCCCAGAAAAUGGGGCAAAAGGAGAACCUCUCCCCACCGGAGGCAGAUCAGGCAUCCAAACACACGAUGCAAAAAUGCAAACCCACAGGCAACACACCCACACACUUACCUACACACUCACACGCAAUUUUACCUUCCUCUUGUAGCGAAGAUGAAACUCCCGUCGGACACCCGAAGUGCAUUGCGUGUUUCUGUUCAGUUUAAUGACGAUUAAUAAAUAUUUAUGUAAAUGAGAUGCAAAGCCGGACCGGUUUCUCACGGUGGCCUCAUUUCAUUUGGGGGAUUGAGCUGGGGCUCUGGGGGAUGGAGACACAGAGUCAAGUGACUGUACAGAGGCCAGGUACAGUGACCCUGGACCUUCCUACGUGGGAUUUCCACCCUGCAACCUUGCUCCCACCCAUCCACUGGGCACCAAAACAGCUACACGCACUGCCCCUCCCAGACCUUACACAAACUCAUACACACUCCUAGCACAAAGCAUUGCACUAAUCUCCCUACACUCCUUCAGUUCCCAAACAUGCACCUGUACCUCCUUUGAGAACAAAAUAUUUUUGCAUCACUAAGAAAUGACCCAGUUGGGAACAGCCGGUCAUUUUACAACCCUCUGCCCACUCUUGCAAAAAACAAACAAACAAACAAACAAAACAAGUGCAUAGAGAUAAAGAGACAACCAUUUGAGCCAGAGAGGGAUAUUUUUAAAUUAAAAAAAAUUCUAAGGUCAUGAGGAUGAAAUAUUAAUGUAGGAAGUCUUUUUAGUAUAAAAUUUAUGUUUCCGUGGACUCAGGGGAAUCAGCCAUUUUUAGUUUCAGGAAUGUUGAAAUUUGUAGUACUAUUGAUGAGGUUGCAGGUGUUCCCUGAGCUGUAUGAGGGGUCUGAAUCUAGAUCCUCAUCUGGAAGAAUGGAGCUUGAGGUCACCAUGAGUUUCCCCUGACAGGACAGCAGGAAACCCCUGGUCUACACCUGGACAGUCUCCUUCCGGCCUGGUGCAGCUCCAGACAGAGGGAACCCUCAGUCUAGGGAGGUGAAAGAAGAGCAUCGCAGAAGAGCUUGUUCUGCCCAGGCUGCUUCCCCAUCUCACAAGACAGCCUCACAAUUCUCUUUCUCUGAGCCUCACGGGCACAAGCAUCUCUGAACUGACUUCCCUGAAAGGACCCUCUCCAGUGGGCACUGGACUCCUGGAAUAUUUGGAGGAGGGGGUGUGUGUCUAAAUCCCAAAAAACACCACCCCGAAGUCUGAACAUGGUUAGGAAGACCGAGACUGGGUUGCUUCUGACGCUGCUUACUAAAAUUAUUUAAAACACACACACAAACACUGUUGCUUGUUUUAGGGCUGAAAUGGGGAGGGGGCGUGCUGUUAGGGCUGGAGCUAGUGGUCAGGCAUGCUAAAGGGUUUUUAAAGAUUGGAUCCAAGAGCCCCAAAAGAGAGCGCCCUGACACAAUCAGGAAAAGAGAAGGUAGUUGAAGAAGGAAGCCUUAAAUGUGAAAGGGUCGAUCGGAUUAUACUGUCUGGCCUUCAGUUUGGCGUCUCCCUUAAGUGACCACUUCCAAACACUGUCUCAUCAGUGGAGACGAUGCCCUCUCUCCUCCAACGGAGGACCGCUGCGGGGGCACCAAGGCCCGGGGCUGGGAGCUGUCCGCCCCCGGGUGCUGACUCUCGUCCAGUCUCGAGCCUUCCAGACACAGAGGGAGGCCGACUGUGCCCGGCCCCACGGAGGGGUGGAGGUGGGGGUGGGGGGAGCGCGGCACAGCCAGAGGCCCUUUUCGACGCGCGGCAGGAAUUCUGGGCAGAAUUCUGCCGUAGUUUUCGGAGAAUUUCACUGGAAUCUUCUCAAAAUUUCAUCUAGAAUUCUUACAGGAUCAUUUUCUCUAAACUGAGAUUAAGAAUUGAGCCCUUCCACCAAGGAUUCACCUCUCUCAGUGGUCUAAGGGAAUUUAAUAAGCCUUGGAGCCAUCCCUCUUCUGGGAGAAAGGACUUGACCCACCUUUCUCCCCCACGUCUUGCCUGGUGUAUGAAGCUAGGCAUAAAUUCCAGACUUAAAUCUGGAGUCUGGGAUGCUCAUGGCAUGGGACAGGCCUGGCAAGGACAACUAGAGAGAAAGGGAACUCGGCACCUAUCCCGAGGCCUGAAUCUUAUCCUGCCCUGGAAACAAGGUUAAUUGGGCUUCUCUCCCAUUCAGCCUGUUUCCCAGAACCCGCUCUGAAAUCCCGGGCUGGGUAGCAUCCAGGUGGCUUGGGGCCGGAAGCAAAAGACCCCUCCACGUGGCUUCCCUGGCCAGACCACAGACUCCUACUCCGCUUCACUCUUCCGGCUACUCCACGCAGCAUCAUUCGGCUUUUGAAGAUGGAUUCUAGCUCCUUCUGAAAGAUGUUGAGGACUCUCAGGCCAUUGCAUCAGUGGUCACCUUGGUGUGGGGGGGUGCCUGGCCCCCUUUUGGGGUGGGAAUCCUGCGUGCGCCUUCGCUUCCUGUGAAUUCCACUGCUGACAAGAGCUACCCCUUUCCCAAUUCCUGACCCUUCCCCCACAUUUCCUGCACUCUGUCUGUGCUCUAUCCUCCCAUCACCCCCCCCCCCCAGCACUCAACUUCCCUGGUGAGAUGGCAAGAUGAGCAGGAGAAGAAGAUGCGCGAGGACACGCGGCCCCAAACUCCCCCUCGCAGGUUGUUUCCUCUCGCUGGCUCUCCCGCUUGCAUGUACACACAGAGAAGCUCCAGGAACAGAAGGAGGUGUGUGUGUAUGUGUGUGUGUGGGGGGGAGGUAGAGAAAGCUAAAAGGGGCCAGAGCAGUAGGAGGGAGGGGGCAAGGGGAGAAGUCAUGGAGAGGAUGCCCUCCUUGCCCUAGCUGGAACAGCGGGAUCUCCAAGCAGGCACUAGCAGGCUCAGCUCAACCCCU
rnacentral:lncRNA from 1 species